ensembl:lncRNA
CUCAUUCUCAACACUUCUAGCUGCCUUUGGAAAGCCUUGGGAGUUUUCAUGCUGCUACGGCUCUCCAUCUUCCCCUUCCCCUGCAUGCUCCAAACACAUUUCCAGCAGAGGUUCACUGUAUGUACAUUGCUUGCAACAACCAACUGUAGGGUCAUCGCUCGUAUUUUUUGAGUUCAUUGUAUUCCUCAUCUGGUUUUUUGCUGCCAGCACCAGCCAAGGUUUCUUGACCCUACGGCCUGGUCACUCUCACCUCCCCUGAGAUUAAUGUGCUGUGCUGUGAACUCUGCUCAUUAUUCACUGUGAUCAUUGCCUAAUGGCGACUUAUGCAAACCGGUGUCACCUCAGAAGAGGCGUGCGUGCUCCUCAGCUUGUGUACGCACACAGCUGAUGGCAAGAUGAAAAUGGCUUGACAAGCUGGUAUUUUAAGAUGUUAGGUGGGUACAGCCUGGAGCGUAUUUUGGCUGUGUAAUGCUGUAGUAGCAGGGGAUCAUAAGACAUUUUCUAUAGCAAAUAAAACACCUGGGAGAAAGAUGCACAGAUUUAUGCAGAGAUAGAUUAAAACCUAAUUGUGGUGCAGUGCUGAUGCCAGUUUAAAAGGUUAAACAUUUAAAAUAACAUUUGAGGCUUGCAAGCUUCUGUCAUAGCAAUACUAUCUUGGCCAAGCUGAAGGUCUCGCCUCCUCUUUAUUUUGCAUUUUCCCACAUGCUCCCAAGCAGAGAGGGCACCUGACGUACAGGAGCAAAGGGACAGCCCCUGCACAGGAGGGCAGGCUGUGAGCAGACACUGCCUGGGGCUGGGAAGAGGCUGCCGAAGAGCACAGUGGCAGGGAGCUUGUGAGGGCUGCAGGCCACUGCGCCAUGCACGCCUGCCAGGUAGGGUCCCUCUUCCGGCCCUGGUAAAGAGUCAUCUAAUCUCUGUGAGGGAAAUGAAGAUCAUAAGCAGGCAAAUAGAUGCGAGGGAGCAGAGAAAGGGAGGUGGGGAAAGCAGGGAUGACAUCAUUUCCCACCGUAGCAUGUACGUAUCGCAGGGUCCAUUUGAUUGCAGCCGUCCUCCUCCCUGUCUUUACCCUGCCACCCCCUCUCCAGACAGCUUGUGUGGGAACUGGAGUGAGGCAAGGGAGAUGCUCUGGGAGUGAACUGAAUGUAAAGAAGUGCGUGGAGCAGAACACGAGAGCUUGGGAAGAGCACCAGAUGCAGGGACACAAACAAGCAGAUGUCCUGAGCUGCUUCAAGACUCACACCAGAGGCCCUGAGAACAUCCCAAAAACUGAAGUCAACCAUCUGGGUGCCAAGGGGGAGCACAGCAGAAACUGGAGCCACAAUGAAUGCAUGAAGCAAGGUGCUGGCGUAAAAGGCAAUUCUUCUGCUGACAGCUAGAAUACUUCAGCAUCACUGGGGAGGAGAACAGCAGAGCACUUUGCAGAUAGCCUGUUGGACAUGUUACGUUGUAAACAGAUAAAAAGGAAGGAAAAAUGAAUAUGCAGCCACCAGGGAAGGUGGCAGUAGAGCUUGAAGGAACUUUUAUUUUAUAAUGAAGAAAGGUUUGGAGAUGUAUGCAUUGUACAAAAUGACUUGAGAUACGAUGUUAAGCUUGUGUAUCAUUUCAUUUAGAAAUCAAUCCUGCAUGCUAAAUAGCUGUGGUAACAUCAUUUCUUUCCUGAUUAACAGGGCAUUUUUCCCUCUUCUGAAGACACAGCACUGAAAAAAAAUAAUAAAAUAAAAAUCUCCCUUAUUCUGCUUAUUGCU